rnacentral:rRNA from 1 species
CAAUCUGCCCUGGAGUGGGGGAAUAACGGCUGGAAACAGCCGCUAAUACCGCAUGAUGCAGUUGGGAGGCAUCUCUCUGACUGCCAAAGAUUUAUCGCUCUGGGAUGAGCUCGCGUCUGAUUAGCUGGUUGGCGGGGUAACGGCCCACCAAGGCGACGAUCAGUAGCCGGACUGAGAGGUUGGCCGGCCACAUUGGGACUGAGACACGGCCCAAACUCCUACGGAAGGCAGCAG